rnacentral:rRNA from 1 species
UACGUAGGGUGCAAGCGUUGUCCGGAAUUAUUGGGCGUAAAGAGCUCGUAGGCGGUCUGUCGCGUCUGCUGUGAAAACUCGGGGCUUAACCUCGGGCCUGCAGUGGGUACGGGCAGACUAGAGUGCGGUAGGGGAGACUGGAAUUCCUGGUGUAGCGGUGAAAUGCGCAGAUAUCAGGAGGAACACCGGUGGCGAAGGCGGGUCUCUGGGCCGUAACUGACGCUGAGGAGCGAAAGCAUGGGGAGCGAACAGG